rnacentral:tRNA from 1 species
GUAUGUAGCUCAGUGGUAGUGUAAAUGCUUAGUAUGCAGAAGGCCCUGGGUUCAAUCUCCAGCAUCA